CCUACGGGAGGCAGCAGUGGGGAAUAUUGGACAAUGGGCGGAAGCCUGAUCCAGCAAUGCCGCGUGAGUGAUGAAGGCCUUAGGGUUGUAAAGCUCUUUUACCAGGGAUGAUAAUGACAGUACCUGGAGAAUAAGCUCCGGCUAACUCCGUGCCAGCAGCCGCGGUAAUACGGAGGGAGCUAGCGUUGUUCGGAAUUACUGGGCGUAAAGCGUACGUAGGCGGUUAUUCAAGUCAGAGGUGAAAGCCUGGAGCUCAACUCCAGAACUGCCUUUGAAACUAGAUAGCUAGAAUCACGGAGAGGUUAGUGGAAUUCCGAGUGUAGAGGUGAAAUUCGUAGAUAUUCGGAAGAACACCAGUGGCGAAGGCGACUAACUGGACGUGUAUUGACGCUGAGGUACGAAAGCGUGGGGAGCAAACAGGAUUAGAUACCCUGGUAGUCCACGCCGUAAACGAUGAUAACUAGCUGUUCGGUCUCUACGAGACUGAGUGGCGCAGCUACGACAUUAAGUUAUUCCGUCCGUCGGGGUAGGUACGGUCGCGAAGAAUUAAAACUUAACAAAGGAAAGUUAGACGGCGUGAGACGUGCCGAACGGACGACGACGAGGGAGGUAGG
rnacentral:rRNA from 1 species